rnacentral:rRNA from 1 species
CGCCAGACUCCUACGGGAGGCAGCAGUGGGGGAUAUUGGACAAUGGGGGAAACCCUGAUCCAGCGACGCCGCGUGAGUGAAGAAGUAUUUCGGUAUGUAAAGCUCUGUCAGCAGGGAAGAAAGAAAUGACGGUACCUGACCAAGAAGCCCCGGCUAACUACGUGCCAGCAGCCGCGGUAAUACGGAGGAUGCGAGCGUUAUCCGGAUUUAUUGGGUUUAAAGGGUGCGUAGGCGGGACGGUAAGUCAGCGGUAAAAAUGCGGAGCUCAACUCCGUCGAGCCGUUGAAACUGCCGUUCUUGAGUGAGCGAGAAGUAUGCGGAAUGCGUGGUGUAGCGGUGAAAUGCAUAGAUAUCACGCAGAACUCCGAUUGCGAAGGCAGCAUACCGGCGCCCAACUGACGCUCAGGCACGAAAGCGUGGGUAUCGAACAGGAUUAGAUACCCUCGUAGG